UCUUCGAUAGUAUAGUGGUAAGUAUCCCCGCCUGUCACGCGGGAGACCCGGGUUCAAUUCCCGGUCGGAGAG
rfam:Phycomyces blakesleeanus NRRL 1555(-) unplaced genomic scaffold PHYBLscaffold_3, whole genome shotgun sequence.